UACAGAGGGUGCGAGCGUUGUUCGGAAUUAUUGGGCGUAAAGGGCGCGUAGGCGGUGCGGUAAGUCACCUGUGAAAUCUCCUGGCUCAACUGGGAGCUUGCAGGCGAAACUGCCGUGCUGGAGUGUGGGAGAGGUGCGUGGAAUUCCUGGUGUAGCGGUGAAAUGCGUAGAUAUCAGGAGGAACACUUGUGGCGAAAGCGGCGCACUGGACCACAACUGACGCUGAGGCGCGAAAGCUAGGGGAGCAAACAGG
rnacentral:rRNA from 1 species